UAUUAUACAAUGUGUCCCGACACUGGUGUCCGAUCCCUUAAUGUCAUGAUGUAUGACAUAUUUUAUCCACAAACUAUAGCCGU